UCAUAUUCGAGUUGAAGUAGACGUUAGGUCACUCACUUGUUUCAUUUCUUUUUCAAUCUCUUUGUUUAUAUUAAAAAAGUGACAGUUCUGUUGGCCGGUUCUUUGUUCAACCGAUUUUAAAGAGUGAAACAAUGCCAUCAAUAUACAACAUCAACCAAAUCAAAUAAAUUCAGAUUUGGAAAACAUCAAACAACAGUAGAAAGCAACGAAUCGUACGAUUCAACAAACAACGACUCGAUCCUAAAAAAAGCAAAAAAAAAAAAAAAAAAAUUGAAAAAGAAUGCCGUAUCAUAACAAGAUGAUUUCAUAGAUUCAGUGAUUGAUAGUCAAUAAAUGUGCUAAUAAUAUAGAAAUAUUACCGUAAAACGUUUCCUGUUGGCACAAUCGAAUGAAAGAAAUGAUUACGGCCCGCUAAAUGUGAAUAGUACAAAGUACGAUAGUCGCUGUUAUUCUCGUUUCUAUGCUGAAUGUGCUAAAAUUUUGUGUCGAACUUCGAUGUGAAUACAAUACAUACAUCUAUCGGUGAACUACCUAUUAUUCAUUCUUGCCUGUGUAAUUUUAUGUAAAAAAAAUUCGUUUGUAAAAUGACGCGUGAGUCAACUAUUGCAUGAUUAUUUUAAUAAAUUAGUUAAAAAUGCAAAGUAUAUGCAUAUACAUGUAUAGCUAAUUAGCCUCGCUUUAAUUGCUUAAACGAUUUACGUUGUCUGAAGUGCAGCAUACAAAAGUCCUUAAACCAACAAUGAGUGCAAAAACUAUGAAUGAAAAAAGAGUCAAUGGUGAUGAUAACGUUGAUGAAUCGAACUCAUUUGACUUGUUGAAAGCAUGCAGUAAUAUUUCGUCUAGAUUUUCACAUGCAAUCGAUCGCCUUUUUUACAGAUUAGGUUAUACGGUUGCAUCACAUCCACUGAAGACGAUUAUUUUCUCAUUUUUGAUAACGCUCAUCUGUAGUUUGGGAUAUUUUAAAUUUUAUAGCGAAAAAAAUCCUUUAAAAUUAUGGAUCCCGCCAGAAUCAAAGUUCCUCCGCGAUACUGAAUGGCUUAUGAAAUCUAUGGAAGAAGGUUUUCGCCUGCAAAGUGUAUUAAUUACAGCGCCAGAUGUGCUUCAACCACAUGUUUUAAAAAAGCUCUCUCAAAUAAGUACAGAGAUUGUGAAUUUUAAUGUUUACUUGGACAAUGGCACGUCAAUCGGCUGGAACGAUGUGUGUUUCCAUAUUCCGAAUAUAGCUGAAUUUACCGAGAAUCAACGUAGAAAACGUAGUAUUUUCGAGUCGAAUGAAGUUUUAUUAAACAUCGAGAAGCCUUUGCAUCGAUUCACCCGAAGUGAACGACCUUGGAAUCCAAGCGUUGAUUUGAAUUCGUUCAUUUUUUGUAGCAUCGUUGACAGUUUACCAAUUGGAUGUAUGAUUCAAAAUUUUCUUGAAAUGUGGAACUUCACCGAAUCCACCAUAGAUAAUCUAACAAAACAGGACAUUUUAAAUGCACUGCACACAACGAACACAAGUCUGACCACAGGACACGAAGCCAAUUUUGAACGAUUAUUAGGCGAUGUGACACGAAAUGAAACCGGCCAUAUUGUUGCUGCCAAAGGGCUACUCACACAUUUUAUGGUUUAUGUCAAUUUUCUAAAAAGUAAUUCGGAAAAAGUUGGAAAUUUAGCCGGAACAGAAGAUUGGGCAUCAGAAGAAGCACUCUUGUGGGAAAAUGAAUUUUUAAGAAAAAUGCAUACACUUAAAGAAAAUUUAAGCGACAAUGAAACCAAUAUCUACUAUUCAGCUGGUCGAAGCUACGGUGACAUCAGUUCGGCGACUAUGUUUCAAGAUAUCAAUAAAAUUAUGUUCGGCAGUGCCUUAAUGUUCAUUUUUAUGAUUUUGGUUUUAUCCAAAUUUGGAUGGAUUGAGCUUCGAAUACUACUAUGCAGUAUGGGUUUAAUGAGCGUUGGAAUGGCCUUCGUUUCUGCCAUUGGCUUGUGCUCUUUUCUUGGGAUAUCUUAUGGUCCGGUGCAUACAUCGUUGCCAUUUUUAUUGAUGGGCUUAGGUAUUGAUGACAUGUUCGUCAUGAUGGCUUCUUGGAAGAAAGUACAAAGAGAGCAUCGAUUGCCACGGGAUCCAUCCACACUGCCAGAACGAAUGGGAAUGAUGCUUCAGAUGGCCGGUUCAUCGAUUACAAUUACAUCGUUCACAGACGUCGUGGCAUUCGUUAUUGGAUCGAUUACGAUACUUCCAUCAUUAGAGUCCUUUUGUUUAUACGCCGGAGUUGGUGUAGUUUUUAUAUUCAUAUAUGUAAAUACAUUUGUGGUUGCAAUUUUCACCAUCGAUGAAUAUCGAAUACAAGCAAAUCGCAAUGCAUUCGCGCCAUGCAUUGCGCAUAAAUCAAAUCGACUAUGGUGCGAUGCACAUCUAAUGGAUCGACUUGUGUCAUUUGUUUAUACAAAAUUCAUAAUGACAAAACCGGGAAAAGUUAUUGUACUGAUGACAGCGCUUGCCGUGACAUCCUACAGUUUCACAGGACUUUUACGUUUAGAGCAAAAAUUCGAUCCAAAUUGGUUUAUACCGGAACGCACAUAUCUCAGUAAAUUUACGACAGUAAAAAAAGGGCUAUUUCCUGAUCAAGGAUACGAAGCGGCCAUUUUGAUGGGACGACUCAAUUAUACCGCGGAAUUAAAUCACAUUGCUGCCUUGAUUGAAACGAUUGAAAAUCGCACAGAUUUAGUGCACGAGAUAUCAUCAUGGGUCAGUCCAUUCCAUGAUUUUGUUCAAGUUUAUUACGAUACGGAUUUUUUCACAACAACAUUGAGUGACUAUGACUUUCGAUUUUAUCUAUCGAAAUUUUUGCAUACACAUCGUGGUGGCAAGUAUAGAGCGAAUUUUCGUUUCAAAACGAAAUUGGAGUGUGGUGAACCAGUCCCAGAGAUUACGGUUUCAACUAUUGAUUUCAAAUAUAAACGAUUCAAAUCACGAUCAAAUUAUCUCUCAGCAAUGCAUGCAAUCGAAAAUAUUGUGGAAAAUGCGCAAUUAAAGAGUGGUGAUGGAUUUGCAACGGUGUGGGGACGAGUUUACGGGAAUUGGGUCACAGAUGAAGUCAUUGACACAGAAGUUUCUCGAAAUAUUAUGCUGGCACUAGCAUGUGUGAUGUUCUGUACAACCAUUUUAAUUCUUAAUCCAAAUGUUUGCUUUUGGAUUUUCAUGUGUGUCGUUUUGACAUUGAUAAAUGUGUGCGGCAUGAUGGAAGUGUGGGGAUUGACAAUUGAUCUGGUUUCAUGCAUCGGAUUGGAGCUCGAACGAGCCAUGAAAACCGUCAGUCACAUUGUACCCGCUGUUCUAUAUGGCGGGUUUUCAACGUUGUUGGCUGUUUCAAUGUUGGCUGACAGUGAAGCGUACACUUUUCAAGCAUUUUUCAAGAUUUUCCUGUUGGUGAUAAUAUUCGGAUUGUUCUUUGGCCUUGUCUUUUUGCCUGUGAUAUUAUCAAAUGAAUAUGAAAUCACGCCGACAAAUGGUAGUCGAAAACGUCGGAAUAAUCGACGCAAUGAAUCGAACGUGAACGUGGACGAUAAAGAAAUGAUAUCAUUCAUUCAGAUGAAUGGGAACGGUAACAUCGAGAAACUCUAAAAGAUAUUUCAUAAAAAUUGAAAUUGAUAGUUACCAAUUUUAAGUGAUUGUUGUUCUCAAACAGACAAACAGAAUGGCAUGCUCAACACACAAUAUUUUGUAUAGAUUUAACAGUCGAUGCCGUCAGUCAUAAAUUGCCUUUAAAUUUUAAGUAGCUCUAAAUGUAGCACCUGGACAAAGGGAAUCAAAAGCAUAAUUUUGAUUUACAAUCUAGCCAUAAAAAACAAAAACUUGCAAAUAGGCACAGAGAACGUGAUAACAUUUAUUGAUUCUUAUUUUGGACAAUCAAUUUAUGUAAAAUAGAUGUGUUCGUUGUUGCGUUCGUUGUGGUUCGAAAUUUAAAGUCAAAUGACAGUUCAACACAAAUUAAUAGUGAACAGAAAACUGAAGCUGCUUGCAGCGCCACCAACUCAGGGGGAGGAGCAAAUGAAUUCAAAUGUCACUACAUCGUUAAAAAGAACCAUAAAGACUAUGUUUUGCAUUUCAUCACAUAAUACACAAUGUGAUGAAAUUGAGUGAGCAAUCAACAGCAUACAGAGCCAACUUCAUGCUGAACGUCAUGGAAUAUGAAUAC